rnacentral:sRNA from 1 species
GCCAAGCGCAGAGGCCGCGGGCGCUCCGGGGCCAGCGGCGCCUUCGGCUCGGGCCAUGGCGCCCGGCGCCGGGGGCGCGAGGAGCGGCUCAUCUAGUCAGACCCCCCACCCCGCCACCGCCACCAGACACCACCAUCGCUGUGUAGUGUGCUGGAGAAUCUGGUAAAAGCACCAUUGUGAAGCAGAUGAGGAUCCUGCAUGUUAAUGGGUUUAAUGGAGACAGUGAGAAGGCAACCAAAGUGCAGGACAUCAAAAACAACCUGAAAGAGGCGAUUGAA